UUAUAUGCCCGUCUAAGCUCAAUCUGCAGGAUCAGAAAAUAACUAGUGAAAACAGAAAUAAACACUAGAUGUUUUGAGAAGUAUUAAGCGUGCACCAAGAAUAAACCCAAAAAAAUAAGCCACCAUGAGUGUGUACUAACAUGCCAACUUGCUGCACAAAGAGAAUUAACAGAAAGUAUCUAGUUUACAAAACAAAAAAAAGAAGAAUGCUUUUGAAGAUUAGAGAAAAAAAAUGAAAAAGGAAAAAAAUAUGGAGGUUCAGUGACGCCAAAACAAUCAAACAAAA
rnacentral:misc_RNA from 1 species